rnacentral:rRNA from 1 species
CCGCUCAACGGGGCGGCGUGCAGGGUAGACUACAGGACUAGGGACCAGGUGAGGUGGACGGUAUUCCGUGGGGAGCGGUAAAAUGUGAUAAUCCUCGGAGGACCACCAAUGGCGAAGGCAGUUCACCAAAAUGGAUCCGACGGUGAGGGAUGAAAGCUAGGGGAGCGAUCCGGAUUAGAUACCCGAGUAGUCCUAGCUGUAAAUCUGCGUGCCAGAUGUUGCGUAUCUCCGAGUUGCGCAGUGUCGUAACGAAGUGUNAAGCACGCCACCUGGAAAGUACGGUCGCAAGGCUGAAACUUAAAGGAAUUGGCGGGGGAGCACCACAAGGGGUGAAGCCUGCGGUUCAAUUGGACUCAACGCCGGGAAACUUACCAGGGGAGACAGCAGAAUGACAGUCAGGUUGACGACCUUACUCGACGAGCUGAGAGGAGGUGCAUGGCCGUCGCCAGUUCGUGCUGUGAGGUAUCCUGUUAAGUCAGGCAACGAACGAGAUCCGCGCCUUUAUUUGCCAUCA